rnacentral:rRNA from 1 species
UACGUAGGGAGCAAGCGUUGUUCGGAUUUACUGGGCGUAAAGGGCGCGUAGGCGGCAAUUCAAGUCAGCUGUGAAAUCUCCGGGCUUAACUCGGAACGGUCAGCUGAUACUGCUUUGCUAGAGUGCGGAAGGGGCAAUCGGAAUUCUCGGUGUAGCGGUGAAAUGCGUAGAUAUCAAGAGGAACACCUGCGGCGAAGGCGGGUUGCUGGGCCGACACUGACGCUGAUGCGCGAAAGCUAGGGGAGCGAACGGG